rfam:Aedes albopictus isolate Foshan contig111235, whole genome shotgun sequence.
GAUCCCAUUAGCCUAGUGGUUGAGGCUAUGGGUCGUUAAUCCGGAGACGGCGGGUUCGAUUCCCGUUCCGGUCG